CUAACACAUGCAGUCGAGCGCCCGCAAGGGGAGCGGCGGACGGGUGAGUAACGCGUGGGAACGUACCCUUUGCUACGGAAUAGCCUCGGGAAACUGGGAGUAAUACCGUAUGUGCCCUUCGGGGGAAAGAUUUAUCGGCAAAGGAUCGGCCCGCGUUGGAUUAGGUAGUUGGUGGGGUAAUGGCCUACCAAGCCGACGAUCCAUAGCUGGUUUGAGAGGAUGAUCAGCCACACUGGGACUGAGACACGGCCCAGACUCCUACGGGAGGCAGCAGUGGGGAAUCUUAGACAAUGGGCGCAAGCCUGAUCUAGCCAUGCCGCGUGAUCGAUGAAGGCCUUAGGGUUGUAAAGAUCUUUCAGUGGGGAAGAUAAUGACUGUACCCACAGAAGAAGCCCCGGCUAACUCCGUGCCAGCAGCCGCGGUAAUACGGAGGGGGCUAGCGUUGUUCGGAAUUACUGGGCGUAAAGCGCACGUAGGCGGACAGAGAAGUCAGAGGUGAAAUCCCAGGGCUCAACCUUGGAACUGCCUUUGAAACUUUUUGUCUUGAGGUCGAGAGAGGUGAGUGGAAUUCCGAGUGUAGAGGUGAAAUUCGUAGAUAUUCGGAGGAACACCAGU
rnacentral:rRNA from 1 species